rnacentral:siRNA from 1 species
ACUUUUAUUGUCUAGGUAAGAGUA